rnacentral:rRNA from 14 species
UGAAAAAUUAGGGGAUGAGCUGUGGGUAGGGGUGAAAGGCUAAACAAACCUGGAAAUAGCUGGUUCUCUCCGAAAACUAUUUAGGUAGUGCCUCAAGUAUCACCAUCGGGGGUAGAGCACUGUUAUGGCUAGGGGGUCAUUGCGACUUACCAAACCAUUGCAAACUCCGAAUACCGAUGAGUGCGAGCUUGGGAGACAGACGUCGGGUGCUAACGUCCGGCGUCAAGAGGGAAACAACCCAGACCGCCAGCUAAGGUCCCAAAGAUUGGCUAAGUGGAAAACGAAGUGGGAAGGCUAAAACAGUCAGGAUGUUGGCUUAGAAGCAGCCAUCAUUUAAAGAAAGCGUAAUAGCUCACUGAUCGAGUCGUCCUGCGCGGAAGAUGUAACGGGGCUAAGCCAGUUACCGAAGCUGCGGAUGCAUCGCAAGAUGCGUGGUAGGAGAGCGUUCUGUAAGCCUGUGAAGGUGGGUUGUGAAGCCUGCUGGAGGUAUCAGAAGUGCGAAUGCUGACAUGAGUAGCGUUAAAGGGGGUGAAAAGCCCCCUCGCCGAAAGCGCAAGGUUUCCUACGCAACGUUCAUCGGCGUAGGGUGAGUCGGCCCCUAAGGCGAGGCAGAGAUGCGUAGCUGAUGGGAAACAGGUCAAUAUUCCUGUACCGAUCAAUAGUGCGAUGUGGGGACGGAGAAGGUUAGCUCAGCCGGGUGUUGGAUGUCCCGGUUCAAGCCUGUAGUCGUGCCUGGUAGGCAAAUCCGCCGGGCUUAGAUGAGGGGUGAUAACGAGGAGGCUUGCCUCCGAAGUGAGUGAUACCCUGCUUCCAGGAAAAGCCACUAAGCUUCAGCUAUUGACGACCGUACCGCAAACCGACACUGGUGCGCGAGAUGAGUAUUCUAAGGCGCUUGAGAGAACUCUGGAGAAGGAACUCGGC